rnacentral:lncRNA from 1 species
AUUCUUGAUCCAUAUGUGGGUGUUACUGGAUGUAAUGUGUCAUGUUAUGUGUUAAUGCCUGAAUCAUACUUGGACAUUCAUGGCUUCAUCUUAUAGUUCAUGAUUCUUAUGACAUAAAUAUUGCCUAAGAUGCUUGUGAAAUACAGCAGGGAUCCAGCCUUAGAAAUUAUGAUUCAAAAUUUACCAAAUUCUACCAUGUUCCUGUGUGGAUAUAUCCCAAUGAAUCCUGAUUUUUAUCUGUUCGUAAAAUUAUAAUUCACUGAUUAGAAUGAUAAUAGUAGUAAUGGAGGGAGAUCAGUAGAAUAGAUUGAGCAGAUCAAGGGAGGGAAGAGGGGAUGGGAAGGGAAGGUACUGGGGAGUGAGUUUGAUCAAACUGUGUUAUGUGCAUCCAUGAAUAUGGCAUGAUGGCUCUCACUAUUACGUAUAAUUUUAAUGUACCAAUAAAAUGUAGGCAAAAAUAGUUCUUGUAAGUGCUGGGAAUGAAUAAAAUAUGAAAUAAAACAGAGAAAUUAUGAUUUGAAAGUCUUUGGGGUGAGAUAUAUAAACCUACAUUUUAACAAACUCCCCAGCAAAUUCUUGGGAAGGCAGUCUAUAUACUUUCAGAAUCACCACUUUGCAUCAUUGAGUAGUUGGGACUUUAUGAAUGAAAAGCAUUACUUCAGUCAGGGAAUGAAACUUUUUUUCCUGUUUCACAGUAGCUUUAGUACAUAGAAAUCAGUUAUAAAAUGGUGCUCUGUCACAGGAAAGGAGAAUAAAGAAUGUAAGACACGUAAUGUUAUAGGUAGAAAUUUGAACAAUUUUAUCUAAUUAGUUCAGAUAAAAUUGUUCAGUCAAAUGAUAUGGCUAACUGUGUUGUCAAAUGUGUGAAGGUAGAUAUUCGACUCUUGUGACCCUUCUGAUUGAAAUAAACACAUUUUUCUUGUUUUGUCCCUGUUUUAUUUGGACCCUCAAUGAACUGGAGGAUGGACCCUUUCAAUGAGAGCAAUCUUCCU